UCAGAUUCGUUAACCACUGCGCCACGACGGGAACUCAACUCAAGCCUUUUUCAAUAGAAAUAAAUGAACUGAUGCUAAACUUAAUACAGCAAUUCAGGGGACCCAGAAUAACCAAAACAAUCUCGAAAAAGAAGAAGAACAUAGAUGGAGUAUUCAUACUUCCCGAUCUCAAAACACACUGUAAGACAGUAUGUACUAGCAUAAGGGUAGACAUCUAGACCCUUGGAAUAGAACUUGAGCAUCAAUAAAUAAGCCCAUGUAUCUGUAGUCAAUUGACUUUUGAUAAGCAUGUCAAAAUUAUUCAUUGGGGAAAGAAUACUCUUCAACAAAUAUUCUAGGGCAACUGGGUAUAUACAUGCAAACAAGUAAAUUAGACCUCUAUCUCACACCAUAUACAAAAUUAACUCAAAAUGGAUGAAAGAAGAAAUGCAACACCUAAAACUAUACUCUUAGAAGAAAGCAUAGGUGUAAAUCUUCAUGAUAGUGGACUAAGAAAUGGUUUCUUACAUAUGACAUCUAAAGCACAAGCAACCAAAAAAACUGGACUUCAUCAAAAUUAAAAAUUUUUGCAAUGGCAGUGUCUUAUUCUGUUCGGGCUGUGAUAACAAUCUGUGCCACAGAUUGGGUAGCUUAUAAACAAUAGAUAUUUAUUGCUUACAGUUGUGGAGGCUAGAAUCCUGAGAGCAGGGUGCCAGCAUGGUUGGGUAAGUUGGCCGUCUUUUUGUAAGAGGAUCUCUAGAGACUUUGCCCCUGAGUGUAUACCUUUAAGAAGCUGUUUACAGCCGUAAUCACCUAUCCUGUAUAUGGAUGGGAAUUGUUGGUUCUUUAGUUCUUUAGAUUGGGAGGAACCACUUCCAGGAGGCCCAGCACUGGUAACCAUGAAAUCAGAAGACAGCAGCCUGGAAAACUUCCAGGUAAUGUGGAAGCACAGCCAGUGCCAGAUGUGGUAGACCCCCUGUUUGGGAACCUCACAGCUGCUUUUAUUCUGUUGAGCAUGCUUUUCCUUCCUUUUGGUAGACCACCAGCUGUCCUGUGUGCCUCAACUCAAGUUACAACAGCAGAAUUCACUUCAGCUCUAGGAAACUGAUCCCCCUUAGCAACUUCAUAACAAAUUCCUGAGAAGAUGACCUCAAUUACAAACUGUCUCAGUUAAAGUGGCCUUUCUUGGGCUUGCUAAGAACAAAACUGUAAACGGCUUCCAUUGCAUCUAUAAAUGAUGUAAUUUGAGGAGGGACUUUUCAUAGUGUGAUUUCUGGGACCUCGGUUCACAGAGUGUAAUUAGAGGCAUAGCCAUGUACCCAGGGUUAUAUGGAGGGCAGUCCCUGCAGGCACUAAGUGGCAGGUGUGACCUCAGUGACAGCUGCCCCUAUACAGUGUCCACAAGUCUAAAAGCAUGUUAUUUAGAAAUUAACUGAAUGCUCUUCUCUGUUCUCCACAAUAAUCUUUAACUUCCCUCAUAUUAUCCCGGACAUCUUCUUCCAUGUUAAUAAUUGGAACUCCUUAAAUCAGCCCCUCAAAGAUAUUCUUAGGUCUUCAAUUACUGUUAGCACACAGCCUCACACAUAGAGAUACUGCACGCAGGGACUGUAUGUAGCCAAGUCGGAGGGGGCUGGACUACUAAGGUUUUGCUUAGAAGGGAUUCACUUUCGUUGAAGAAUUGGAAGGGUUUUGUGAGUAGAACAUGGAUUGGUAGGGGCGGGAGAGUAGUUUUGUAUUUAUAUUUAAAGGAAGCAGCCGGCCGCCCAUGCUGUACAUGUAGUUUGCGCUCAGCCCAGCAGGACCUACAUUCAAAUUGGGACACGGCAGGGGAGAUUAGCAUGUCCACUGUACACAGUGUACAGUGUGAUUUGGGGAGGUGUCGCCAUGGUCUGGGUUCAAGCUAACAUAUAGGAUGUAAUGUAGUCUCUGUAGUUGAGAGUAUAACAUAUCCUCAUGCGACAUGUGGAAAGAGAGGAGGUUCAUUUGUGCAUUCGGCAUGGCCCUGGAAAACAUGUAGUUUGACAAGCCUUCUCUCUGUGCUGUGGCUUCAAUGGAAGAGACACCUUUCAGCUACUAUGCCCCAAAUUAUCUUUAUCUACUCUUGAGUCCAGCUCCUCUCCACAGUGACAUUCUUUUAUCAAUUAACCUUUCCUUACGUUUUACAUCUAUCUAUUGACUUUUGCUCCUCCAGUCACAAAUAUUCUCCAUAUUUCUUAACUUUAAAAAUUUCAAAAUGUGUACAUAUGUAUUAGUGGGUCACUUUGCUGUGCAGCAGAACUUGCUGUGCAGUAAAUCAACUAAUAAGAAUAAUAAAUUUUAAUUUAAAAAUUCAAAAAAAAAAGAAAAGAAAAAA
ensembl:lncRNA